GGCAACCGGCGAACGGGUGCGUAACACGUGAGCAACCUGCCUUCGAGUGGGGGAUAGCCGGCCCAACGGCCGGGUAAUACCGCAUACGCUCAGGUCCUGGCAUCAGGGGCUGAGGAAACGUUUACGGCUCGGAGAGGGGCUCGCGGCCUAUCAGCUUGUUGGUGGGGUAAUGGCCUACCAAGGCUUCGACGGGUAGCUGGUCUGAGAGGAUGAUCAGCCACACUGGGACUGAGACACGGCCCAGACUCCUACGGGAGGCAGCAGUGGGGAAUCUUGCGCAAUGGGCGAAAGCCUGACGCAGCAACGCCGCGUGAGGGAUGAAGGCUCUCGGGUUGUAAACCUCUUUCAGCAGGAACGAAAAUGACGGUACCUGCAGAAGAAGCUCCGGCCAACUACGUGCCAGCAGCCGCGGUAAUACGUAGGGAGCAAGCGUUGUCCGGAUUUAUUGGGCGUAAAGAGCUCGUAGGCGGCUUAGAAAGUCAGGUGUUAAACCUCCAGGCUCAACCUGGAGCCGCCACUUGAUA
rnacentral:rRNA from 1 species